GACGAACCGUGCGAACGUUGUUCGGAUUCACUGGGCUUAAAGGGCGCGUAGGCGGCUCGCCAAGUCGGGGGUGAAAUCUUUCGGCUCAACCGGAAAACAGCUUCCGAUACUGGCGGGCUCGAGUGGGGUAGGGGCGACUGGAACUUCCGGUGGAGCGGUGAAAUGCGUAGAUAUCGAUCGGAACACCCAUGGCGAAGGCAGCUCGCUGGCCUGCAACUGACGCUGAGGCGCGAAAGCGUGGGGAGCAAACAGG
rnacentral:rRNA from 1 species